CCCGCACAAGCGGUGGAGCAUGUGGUUUAAUUCGAUGAUACGCGAGGAACCUUACCUGGGCUCAAAUGUAUGUUGACGUAUUCUGAAAGGGAUACUUCUUCGGACAAUAUACAAGGUGCUGCAUGGUUGUCGUCAGCUCGUGCCGUGAGGUGUCGGGUUAAGUCCCAUAACGAGCGCAACCCCUAUCAUUAGUUGCCAUCAGGUCAAGCUGGGGACUCUAAUGAAACUGCCUACGCAAGUAGUGAGGAAGGUGGGGAUGACGUCAAAUCAGCACGGCCCUUACGUCCAGGGCUACACACGUGCUACAAUGGCCGGUACAAAGGGCAGCUACCUGGUGACAGGAUGCUAAUCUCAAAAGCCGGUCUCAGUUCGGAUUGAAGUCUGCAACUCGACUUCAUGAAGCUGGAAUCGCUAGUAAUCGUGGAUCAGCCAAGCCGCGGUGAAUACGUUCCCGGGCCUU
rnacentral:rRNA from 1 species